AAGAUAGUAGGAUAUAGGAUAUCUCUACACAGGUAGGGGCUAAUUCAAGCCACUAUGCAGAGAUAGCCUCUAUCCUACUAUCCUUGAGAAUUGAAAGAGAGAAUACCUGUGUGGAGGUAUCCUAUUAUCUGGUGAAUUUGAGGCAGGAGAAUAGGGUGUGGAGGCAAGGAACCUAAGGCCAGUUCAUGCUGACUUCCUAGAACUAAAUCAAAAGGAAAACCCCAAUUUUCCACACCUAAGUAACAAAAGGACCAGAGGCUACUCCCUUUGCAACACUUUCUACAUGGCAGAUGGAAAAUUGAAAGUACCUCUGAUUGGUUGCAGAAAGCAACCAAGCAGAUGUUUGCAUAGGAGUGUAACUUUGUAACUUCACUUUGGCCUCUGAUUGUGGGCCACUGCUUCAUUUGCACCGGGUGUACAUCAAGUGGCCAAUGGUGGAUUUGGACCCCAGAAGACUGUGUAACCAGGGCCUUUGAGCCACUGCUCGGGCCACUCCCACCCUGUGAAAUGUACUUUCAUUUUCAAUAAAUCUCUGCUUUCGUUGCUUCAUUCUUUCCUUGCUUUAUUGUGCGUUUUGUCCAAUUCUUUGUUCGAAAUGCCAAGAACCUGGAUAACUUGCGGUCAAGACCCUUUACCGGUAACAUGUAUAUAGAGAGGUUAU
rnacentral:lncRNA from 1 species